UACGAGGGGGGCAAGCGUUGUUCGGAAUUAUUGGGCGUAAAGGGCGCGUAGGCGGUGCGGUAAGUCUGUUGUGAAAUCUCCGGGCUCAACUCGGAGUCUGCAUCAGAAACUGCCGUGCUCGAGUGUGGGAGAGGUGAGUGGAAUUUCCAGUGGAGCGGUGAAAUGCGUAGAUAUUGGAAAGACACCAAUGGCGAAGGCACUCUACUGGGCCAUUACUGACACUGAGAGACGAAAGCGUGGGGAGCAAACAGG
rnacentral:rRNA from 1 species